AUGUGUAUGGUGCAUCAAUUCUUUCCUUUGGAUAAAUUUUUAUACAUGGAAUUACUGGGUCAAAAGGUCACAUUCUUCUGGACAUUGGGAAAUGAUGUUGGCAGUUUCGCUUCAAGAAACAGAGCCAUCCGUCCCCUCCCUGCUGUCUCCUGGCUCCAGGGGCUUCCUGGGAGCACCAUGGUUUUGAUUCCUGAAGAGUACGCGAGGUGGCGAAGCCAAGGCCUGAAGAGAUGA
rnacentral:lncRNA from 1 species